rnacentral:rRNA from 1 species
UGGGCGAUAGCCUGAUGGAGCGACGCCGCGUGAGUGAUGAAGGCCUUCGGGUCGUAAAGCUCUGUUACCAGGGACGAAACAAGACGGUACCUGGGGAGGAAGCCACGGCUAACUACGUGCCAGCAGCCGCGGUAAUA